GACGAACGCUGGCGGCGUGCUUAACACAUGCAAGUCGAACGGAAAGGCCCUGCUUUUGUGGGGUGCUCGAGUGGCGAACGGGUGAGUAACACGUGAGUAACCUGCCCUUGACUUUGGGAUAACUUCAGGAAACUGGGGCUAAUACCGGAUAGGAGCUCCUGCUGCAUGGUGGGGGUUGGAAAGUUUCGGCGGUUGGGGAUGGACUCGCGGCUUUUCAGCUUGUUGGUGGGGUAGUGGCUUACCAAGGCUUUUACGGGUAGCCGGCCUGAGAGGGUGACCGGCCACAUUGGGACUGAGAUACGGCCCAGACUCCUACGGGAGGCAGCAGUGGGGAAUAUUGCACAAUGGGCGGAAGCCUGAUGCAGCAACGCCGCGUGCGGGAUGACGGCCUUCGGGUUGUAAACCGCUUUCGCCUGUGACGAAGCGUGAGUGACGGUAAUGGGUAAAGAAGCACCGGCUAACUACGUG
rnacentral:rRNA from 1 species